AAUAAAUGGAUAAAUAAUCCCUGUGUCGACUCCUUUCCUUUCAUCUGCUAUAGCCCAGCUGUGGAGACCCCUGAGAAACCUCAACUGAAUAGACAGGUGGUGAGAGUGAAGAUGACCCCAAAGGAUCCAAAUCUGAACCUCAGCGAUCCUGCUGUUCAGGACGACAUCUUACAAGAGAUAAGGAACAAGCUGAAGGAGCAGGGGUUACCUGCAGACACCAAACUGACAUGGAAAAAGCAG